rnacentral:rRNA from 1 species
GCCAGCAGCAAUAUCAUCCUGCAAUUCACAACACUGAAGCUCAGCAGGUGUGAGCUUGGCAAGUACCUGGAUGGGAGACCUCCUGGGAAAAACUAAAGUUGCUGCUGGAA